GGCAGUGCGGCAGGUCUACACAUGCAAGUCGAGCGGUAGCACAGAGAGCUUGCUCUCGGGUGACGAGCGGCGGACGGGUGAGUAAUGUCUGGGAAACUGCCUGAUGGAGGGGGAUAACUACUGGAAACGGUAGCUAAUACCGCAUAAUGUCGCAAGACCAAAGUGGGGGACCUUCGGGCCUCAUGCCAUCAGAUGUGCCCAGAUGGGAUUAGCUAGUAGGUGGGGUAACGGCUCACCUAGGCGACGAUCCCUAGCUGGUCUGAGAGGAUGACCAGCCACACUGGAACUGAGACACGGUCCAGACUCCUACGGGAGGCAGCAGUGGGGAAUAUUGCACAAUGGGCGCAAGCCUGAUGCAGCCAUGCCGCGUGUGUGAAGAAGGCCUUCGGGUUGUAAAGCACUUUCAGCGGGGAGGAAGGCGAUGAGGUUAAUAACCUUGUCGAUUGACGUUACCCGCAGAAGAAGCACCGGCUAACUCCGUGCCAGCAGCCGCGGUAAUACGGAGGGUGCAAGCGUUAAUCGGAAUUACUGGGCGUAAAGCGCACGCAGGCGGUCUGUCAAGUCGGAUGUGAAAUCCCCGGGCUCAACCUGGGAACUGCAUUCGAAACUGGCAGGCUAGAGUCUUGUAGAGGGGGGUAGAAUUCCAGGUGUAGCGGUGAAAUGCGUAGAGAUCUGGAGGAAUACCGGUGGCGAAGGCGGCCCCCUGGACAAAGACUGACGCUCAGGUGCGAAAGCGUGGGGAGCAAACAGGAUUAGAUACCCUGGUAGUCCACGCCGUAAACGAUGUCGAUUUGGAGGUUGUGCCCUUGAGGCGUGGCUUCCGGAGCUAACGCGUUAAAUCGACCGCCUGGGGAGUACGGCCGCAAGGUUAAAACUCAAAUGAAUUGACGAGGGCCCGCACAAGCGGUGGAGCAUGUGGUUUAAUUCGAUGCAACGCGAAGAACCUUACCUGGUCUUGACAUCCACAGAACUUUCCAGAGAUGGAUUGGUGCCUUCGGGAACUGUGAGAACAGGUGCUGCAUGGCUGUCGUCAGCUCGUGUUGUGAAAUGUUGGGUUAAGUCCCCGCAACGACCGCAACCCUUAUCCUUUGUUGCCAGCGGUUCGGCCGGGAACUCAAAGGAGACUGCCAGUGAUAAACUGGAGGAAGGUGGGGAUGACGUCAAGUCA
rnacentral:rRNA from 1 species